GCGCGAGGCAGGGCGGGAGCAGUCGGGCCCAGGCAAACCUCGCGAGAACUGUCCCGAGACAGUGCCACAGGCAUGCCAACCUUCGGUUAGGGCCAUGUUGAGUGUGGCCGAAAGGUGGGAGCGAAAUAAAACAAGGAGCAGAACCGCGAAGAAGCCAUGUUUGGUGCGUCGAAGUUUAAACUCGUAGGACUUGGGAGGAGCCAAGGUAUAUCCGCAGAAGAGACCACCCCUGCCCUUUCGCUUUGACGCUCAUUGGGCCUUUUGGCUGCGCAUUUCACCCCGGGCUGAGAAAACAAGCUGGGGAUUCGACAAGAAUGAACUCAAAGUCUGGAAACGGCAGCUUCUGAGAGUUUACAAUGUUUCACCAACUGUCGUCCAAAUAAGUCGUCACCCCUGUCAGAGUAGUUGCAGCUCUGCCGUUACCCACUGCUGUCACUGUGGCCGUUUUAUUCGCGAGGGUUACAGUUCUGUUUAGCAUGCAUCUAAUGACUUAAGACUCCACGCAAGUAAAACGGAGUUUCCUCCCAUUAAGUAUUGGCUUUGCUUUAACAGUGCUUUGAGAGGCUCUCUGUGGCCAACAUAUCUUCUCAUAUCUUUGUCCUCGUUUCCCAAUCUCCGCGUGGUGAAAUCAUCUAUCAAGACUUGGCUUAAAGGACCUCUCUUCUGCAAAUAAUGCCAUCUUCCGCUAGGUGCUCACUGCACACAGACUCGCCGCCCACCACUUCUGUCCACCUUCUGAACUCCGAUAGUUAUUUACCCAGAGACUGUUUCUCAUCUUUAAGUGUCGUGAAGACUUUAAGAUCUGUUUUAUCUCUCUAUACCCCAAAAUGGCCUAGCACAGUAACUAGGACAUUGUAGGUGCUCAAUAAAUGUUUGUCGAAUAUCAAUGACAGCAGGAGGCAGUAAAUGGUCCCUCUUUGUAGGGCCUACAGCUGUGCCUGAGUAGGAUGUACAGAAGUCCUGCAUACGUGUGAAGUGUCUCCAGGAAGCUGCACUGGAGGGGACAGGAAAUGUGGGUAAUCGUAUGGUGCAAGUGGUAGCAAAAAAGACAACAUAAGGAAAAUGUUAUUUAGGUUUUGCCCAGUCUUGCUGUUUAAAGCCCUGUGUUAGAUGCUUUUCAUGCGCUAUUUUACUGAAUGUAAACAACCACCUUAUUAAAUAUACUCACUUUUUUAAAACGAAGAAACACGUACUGGCCGGUCACAGUGGCUCACGCCUGUAAUCUCAGCACUUUGCGGGGCCGAGGCGGGUGGAUCACGAGGUCAGGAGUACAAGACCAGCCUGGCCAAGAUGGUGAAACCCCGUCUCUACUAAAAAUACAAAAAUUAGCCGGGCGUGGUGGCGGGUGCCUGUAAUCCCAGCUACUCGGGAGGCGGAGGCAGGAGUAUCGCUUGAACCUGCGAGGCGGAGGUUGCAGUGAGCCGGGAUCGCACCACUGCACUCCAGCCUGGGCAACAGAGUGAGACUCCAUCUCAAAAAAAUAAAAAAAAAGAAAGAAAGAAAGAAAAAGAAACAAGUACUGAAAAAGCUAAGUAAUUUGCCCAAUUUUAUACCAUCAAUAAAAGGGAGCUGUAAGCUUUGGGAUCUGCUUUGCCCCAAAGCCUGUUUAUACUUUUUCAGCCCCAUGCUAUCCCCUUGACAACAGAGAAGACACCAAAGUUCUGUCACUGUGCUCAGAGCAGGGUUACCCUGGUAUCAGCCUAUGCACAAUUUCUACUUCUUAUACCUUGUGUUGGUCUGUCUUCUCCUCGCCUCCUAAAUUCCCCAAGCACAUCAAUGUCUUUCUUUUCUAAUAUCCCGUUACUCUUGUGUUUACCCUACAGAUUGGCCCUGAAUCUAUCAAGUUUUGUACUAGUUGCAUAUAGUUUCAUGAGAGUAAUUAAUCUCUGGAACAAGAUUGGAGGUUUACUGUGGAAAGGUUUGUGGCCCUUCCCAGACGUCUCCGCAGUGUUAGGCCGGUAAUAGGUAUUCAAUAUGGCUCCCUUGUUUCUCCUACUUUUUAGUAGACACUAAGAUUGCAUUUUUCUUUAUAUUCUUUGUUGAUUACUGUGGCCUUGACUCUCACCACUCUUUGGAUAACUGGAUCUUGGCCCUAGACUAAAUCUCCAAUUACCCGUUACCCAUCUUCACAUAGAUACAGAAGUCACCAGCACCUUCAGCUCCCAUAUUAAGGUUAUCAUUUUUCCUCCCUCAGUCUCACAAAGCCAGCUCCUCCUCGUUUCCUCUGUAUUUCUGUUCAUGGCCGUCACAGAACACUCUUCUGAGAACUAAGAGAACCAAAGUUUCAGAAAUAUUAUAUACUCCUCUGUACGCCUUGCUCCCACCCAGUUAUGAAGUCUCUAAAUACCACUGAUGCAUAUUUCUUAUAUGUACUUCCCUUUUGUCUGAUUGCACCACUGCCUUCCUAAUUUAGACUGUCAUUUCUACUGCCCAAAUGAUUAUAGUAGUAUUUCCACAGUUCAGCUUGAGUUUUGUCUCUAUCAUGUCUCUACCUGCCAAG
rnacentral:lncRNA from 10 species